rnacentral:antisense_RNA from 1 species
UGUGGGAGCUGGCUUGCCUGCGAAGGCGUCGGGUCAGUCUACCCAUCCGGUGCUGGUAUACCGCCAUCGCAGGCAAGCCAGCUCCCACA